rnacentral:rRNA from 1 species
CUCAAAGGAUAAAAGGUACUCCGGGGAUAACAGGCUGAUCUCCCCCAAGAGCUCAUAUCGACGGGGAGGUUUGGCACCUCGAUGUCGGUUCGUCACAUCCUGGGGCUGGAGAAGGUCCCAAGGGUUGGGCUGUUCGCCCAUUAAAGUGGCACGUGAACUGGGUUCAGAACGUCGCAAGACAGUUCGGUCUCUAUCUGUGGUGGGCGUUAGUAAAUUGCGAGGACAUGCUCUUAGUACGAGAGGACCGGAGCGUAUGUACCGCUGGUGUAUCUGUUGUGCCGCCAGGUGCAGUGCAGAGUAGCUAUGUACAGACAGGAUAAGCGCUGAAAGCAUCUAAGCGCGAAACCUUCCUCAAGAUGAGUUUACUUUUAAGUGCCGUCAAAGACUAUGACGUUGAUAGGCUAUAGGUAUACAGGUGGUAACAUCAAAGCCGAGUAGUACUAAUUGCACGUAAGCUUUAUAA